AGCUUUCGGAAUCCGUGAGAUUUCGUCAGACAUCAACCCAUUAGGGCUGAUCAGACUUUCAAGAUAAGUGAAGUU
rnacentral:pre_miRNA from 1 species